CUUUGAGAGCCUCUAUAUCUUUUAUAAAUGUCAAUAAGUUCUUUCCCUUUUUUUUUUAAAGUGCUGGAGAAGGAACCACGGGCCUUACUCACACUAGGCACAUCUACCAGUCAGCUAUGCCCAUGCUAAUAAGUCCUGUGAUUUAGAAGUUUGAGAACUGCUGAUGUAAAAACCUGGAAGAUUGCAAGGUUUUAGGUAUCCUCUCCCUUGCAGUGAGGAGUCACUGAAGGGCUUUAAUCAGGUGAGCUCUGAGGCAGAUCUUGAAAAUCAUUAACCUUGCGUGUGUGUGUGUGUGUGUGUGUGUGUGUGUGUGUGUGUAUGAGACUAAAAUAUGUUAACAGCUUCUGCAGCUCGGGAAGGCGAAGGGACCCUAAUGGGGCAUUUCCAAUCUGUUCCAAAUCUCUGCUAGAGAGGAGCACUGACCUAUUCUCUCCAGCAGAUGCACGGGGGUUGAGCUCAUGAUAAGGGAGGUUUCCUUUCUUGCUCUUUAAUUAACUGCAUUCAAGUCAUCUGAGCCAUCACAAAAGCAUUGUUAGUUAUGAGCCACUUAACAAAUACCCACAGGGGACAUUGCAGUGUUGGAGUUGAUGGAAGGCACCUGAAAAAGAUUGAAGUUCUUACCCUUGAACAAUCUGGGCUCUCAGGGGGAGGACCGGAUCUGCUUUGUCAGGAGCAGAGCUGCACUUUUGGCACGAACUUACAAAACUAGCACCAGAAUGGAAAUAUGAAGCCUCCAGUGUAUUUUUCCAAAAUCCGUUUUCCCCCCUGUGAUUCCCUUGAAAAAGAGGGGAAAAAAAUCCCUGAAGAGAGAUUUCUGGUUUGACUUCGCUCCUUCAUCUCCUUUCCAGGCUUCCUAACAUGAGAAGUCUGCAUUAGCUUCAGUUAUGUUUACAAGACUGGAAAUUUUAAC
rnacentral:lncRNA from 1 species